ensembl:lncRNA
UCCUACCAAUGGUUUAUAUACAGUACAUUGGGUCCUACCGGGUCCUACCAAUGGUUUAUAUACAGUACAUUGGGUCCUACCAAUGGUUUAUAUACAGUACAUUGGGUCCUACCAAUGGUUUAUAUGCAGUACAUUGGGUCAUACCAAUGGUUUAUAUGCAGUACAUUGGGUCAUACCAAUGGUUUAUAUACAGUACAUUGGGUCAUACCAAUGGUUUAUAUACAGUACAUUGGGUCCUACCAAUGAACUGUAUGGUAGGUAGACUGAACUGCCCUGUCUGGUAGGUAGCCUGAACUGCCCCGUCUGGUAGGUAGCCUGAACUGCCCCGUCUGGUAGGUAGCCUGAACUGCCCCGUCUGGUAGGUAGCCUGAACUGCCCCGUCUGGUAGGUAGACUGAACUGCCCUGUCUGGUAGGUAGACUGAACUGCCCUGUCUGGUAGGUAGACUGAACUGCCCUGAA